rnacentral:rRNA from 1 species
GACGAACGCUGGCGGCGUGCUUAAUACAUGCAAGUCAACUGAACUUGAAGUAGCAAUAUUUCAAGGGAGGUGGCGCACGGGUGAGUAACACGUAGGUAAUCUGCCUUUAGGUCUGACAUAAUUCCGCGAAAGCGGGACUAACUUCAGAUGAUGCAGCGGCUCGACAUCGAGACAGUUGUUAAAUCUUCGGAGCCUAAAGAUGAGCCUGCGUCUGAUUAGGUAGUUGGCGGAGUAAAAGCCCACCAAGCCUGCGAUCAGUAGCUGGUCUGAGAGGAUGAUCAGCCACACUGGAACUGAGACACGGUCCAGACUCCUACGGGAGGCAGCAGUAAGGAAUAUUGCUCAAUGGCCGAAAGGCUGAAGCAGCAACGCCGCGUGGAGGAUGAAAUACUUUUGUAUGUAAACUCCUGUAAGAAGGGAAAAAUAUUUCGAUUUAUCGGAAUUGAUUGUACCUUCAGAGUAAGCA